CAGUCGCCACGGUAAUACGUAGGUGGCAAGCGUUGUCCGGAAUUAUUGGGCGUAAAGGGCUCGCAGGCGGUUUCUUAAGUCUGAUGUGAAAGCCCCCGGCUCAGCCGGGGAGGGUCAUUGGAAACUGGGAAACCUGAGUGCAGAAGAGGAGAGUGGAAUUCCACGUGUAGCGGUGAAAUGCGUAGAGAUGUGGAGGAACACCAGUGGCGAAGGCGACUCUCUGGUCUGUAACUGACGCUGAGGAGCGAAAGCGUGGGGAGCGAACAGGAUUAGAGACCCCGGUAGUCCCUGUCUCUUAUAC
rnacentral:rRNA from 1 species